UACGUAGGGUGCAAGCGUUGUCCGGAUUUAUUGGGCGUAAAGAGCUCGUAGGCGGUCUGUCGCGUCGGAUGUGAAAACCCAGGGCUCAACCCUGGGCCUGCAUUCGAUACGGGCAGACUAGAGUGUGGCAGGGGAGACUGGAAUUCCUGGUGUAGCGGUGAAAUGCGCAGAUAUCAGGAGGAACACCGGUGGCGAAGGCGGGUCACUGGACCAUUACUGACGCUGAUGCACGAAAGCUAGGGGAGCAAACAGG
rnacentral:rRNA from 1 species